AACAUUGAAAAUUCCAAACAAUACAGCAAGUACUCAUAUUGUAUUUCCUAGGAGCAUGUAUUUCCAAGCUCCCUAACCAAACAGCAGCAUAGAUAGUAGUUUGUGUGACAGAGGGAAGGAGUAAGUUCCUGGGAUAAUAUGGCUUCUGCUACUCUAAAUGGAGUUUCCAUGAACGGGUUUGCAUCAUCUCUAGUUUGCUAUCUUCCUAAUUUUCACGCAUUUCCUCGAAUUUCAACUUUUUCCUCAUCUUGUUUUUAUUCUUCUUCUUCUGGUCCUGGGAUGUACAAAGUUCAUCAUCUUUUGAGAGCUUCCUCUGAAGAACUUUCGAGUGAGUUGGUUGAAGAUUCAAAGUUUGUUCCUCUGGAAGCUGAAGAUCCCAGUUAUGGCCCCCCGGCCAUACUGCUUCUGGGGUUUCAAGUGGAAGAGGCAGAUAAGAUUCAGCAACUUCUGAAGGACUUGGAUGGGGAGUUUUUACAGGUUAUCUACUGCACCGAAGACAUGAUUACUCGCUCACUUUGGGAUGCGGUGAAUAGUGGACAGCAGGACUUGGGGAAGUUGAGGAUUGCAAAAUCAGUACCUCGGAUAUGCUUUCUUUCUGGGCUUAGUGGGGAAGAGAUGAUGAUGUUCAUAGAUUCCUUCGAAGAAACUGGUCUAGAGCCUGCUGUAUUCGCGGCCCAUGUUCCCAACAGCUCUGAUAAAUCAUUAUUGGAGCUGACAGAAGAAAUUAUGGGAGAUCAUGAGAUGCUGUCUGCAAAACAAUCGGAUCCUAAGUAGGCAAUAUGGUUCGUUGAUCGGCGACAUAUUCUUAUUUUCUCGUCCUCUCUCUUGGUGGGUGCAAGAAGCCAUCUUGGCUAGUUUAUAAGCCAUCGGCAAAAAUAAUUUGUGAGUCUCGCAUGUAAAUAAAGGGGAAAAAACAAGGGGUCUACAAAAUCAAUUCGGAUGCAGCAUUUUCAAAGAUAGAACUGUGGGGCUAGGAGGCGUCAUGCGGGACACUGCUGGAGAGAUUAUGGGGGCAAUGUGUAUGCUAAUGGAGGUGGAUGAAACUGAAGCGUGUGCAGCUUGACACGCUUUGAAGAUUGAUAUGGAGUCGGGCCUCUGAAAUGUUGUUUUGGAAAGUGACUGCCUCAAGCUGAUUUCCCAACUGAAACAUAAGACCCGAGAUGACACAAGCUUCGGAAAUAUCGUAGAUGACAUCUUGUGGCUAGGUAGCUUUUAUUCCAGCAUCUCCUUCAAUCAUGUGCGAAGAGAGGGAAAUAGAGUUGCACACACUCUAGCUCAGAGUAGUAAGGAGUAUGGUUGUAUGCGUGUUUGGAUUGAAGAAGUGCCACCUGAGGCCAUCUCUUUUGUAUUCUCGGAUGUGGCUUUAAUGAAUGAUUAAGAGUUCUUUUCUCGUCAAAAAAAAAACCCUCUAAUGUAAGCACAUGUAAAGCCACUUUCAUUAGCCCCCUAAAAUUUUAGAGAGACGAGAUUUUCAGUCUGUUUAGAAUUCUCAAGCCUCCUAGAAUCCAGCCUUUCCACCACCUAAAUUUUGGUCUCUCCACUGCCUCUUCCCUUUGCGCCGCUAUCGCCUCCCUUCUCUAUGUCAGAUAUGUGUUUUCGCUGCCUUCCCAUCACUACUAGUCCGACCUUUCGUCAUCGCUUUCCCGUUGGUGUCGCCACCAUCUGGUGGUCAAUUGCCUUGCUUUCGACAUCGGUGAUCAAGGUUUUUCUAUUUUCUAUCGGUGGUCAUAUGUGUGUGUGCAUAUGUAUGCGACUCCAUGUGCUGGAAUUAUUCUUUAAGGACAAAGGAUGCAAUGCUGGACACAUUGUUUGGGUAAUGCAGAUAUGUAGUGCAAAUGCAAAGAUAUGACACUAAUGUAAAGAUAUAUUGUUAAUGCAGAUGAUAGGAUAUGAUGCUAAUGCAUUGAUAGGAUGUAUGCUUUAUCGUUCUUUUAGAAGCUCAAUUUUUCUUUCAGUAAAUAGUUUUCAAAAGAGAAGAAAUGAGAACCCCCAAGGAUGGUCCAUGUAGGUUAUAUUUGAUUCAAAAUGUGUCAUAGAACGAAUCUUCGAUUUUAGUUUGUUAUGGGCCAAAGUGUGCCCAUAAAAUAUUUAGGAUGUCAUGUUAUUUUCUCGUAUGGGUCUGGAGCCCACAAUCUUUUGUAUGGACUCUUGAUGAAUUCCUUAUCAAAAUACACAUAAAGCCUAUGAAAGAGGAGGAAUAGGAAUCCCCAAGGAUGAUCCAUUUAGUUAAUAGAUUAUGUUGGAUUCAAAAUAUGUUGUAAAACGAGUCUUCAUAAUGCUUGAGUUGUAAAUGCUUCAAUUUUUGUAUGCCAAGGGCCUAAGUGAACCCAUAAAGAAGUUUGAUCUUGUAUCAAUGCGAGUUUAAACUCAAGAUUCCAUGUAUGGACUCGUAAUGAAAUCCUUAUCACAAUAGGCCUAGACUGUGGAUUACUGAUGAAGCCCCCAGCAAGAUGGAGUUGAUGAAAUAUCCAACUUAAUUGCUUGAUUUGAAGAUAUAUCGUCACGCUUAGUGGAAGUUCGAUCAAAGAUUCCAUAUAGGUUUCCUAAGGUGAAUUGGACAAUGUGUAAGUCAAGGGAUCCUUGUUUGUGUAUGUAUAUGAACUUGUUUUCUUAUAAUCAUAGAUUGGGAUGAAUUCAAUGGAAAUUUUGACAAUCUUGCAAAUGGUGUAUUGGAAGUUAUUGGUGAUUGUUUUGGUA